GCCUUGGUAGCUCAGGGGUAGAGCGGCAGCCUUGUAAGCUGUUGGCCGCGGGUUCAAAUCCCGCCCGAGGCUCCA
rnacentral:tRNA from 1 species